AUGAACGCUGGCGGCGUGCCUAAUACAUGCCAGUCGAGCGAACAGACGAGGAGCUUGCUCCUCUGACGUUAGCGGCGGACGGGUGAGUAACACGUGGAUAACCUACCUAUAAGACUGGGAUAACUUCGGGAAACCGGAGCUAAUACCGGAUAAUAUAUUGAACCGCAUGGUUCAAUAGUGAAAGACGGUUUUGCUGUCACCUAUAGAUGGAUCCGCGCCGCAUUAGCUAGUUGGUAAGGUAACGGCUUACCAAGGCAACGAUGCGUAGCCGACCUGAGAGGGUGAUCGGCCACACUGGAACUGAGACACGGUCCAGACUCCUACGGGAGGCAGCAGUAGGGAAUCUUCCGCAAUGGGCGAAAGCCUGACGGAGCAACGCCGCGUGAGUGAUGAAGGUCUUCGGAUCGUAAAACUCUGUUAUUAGGGAAGAACAAAUGUGUAAGUAACUAUGCACGUCUUGACGGUACCUAAUCAGAAAGCCACGGCUAACUACGUG
rnacentral:rRNA from 1 species